rnacentral:rRNA from 1 species
AGAGCGAACGCUGGCGGCAGGCCUAAUACAUGCAAGUCGAACGGAUCCUUCGGGAUUAGUGGCGGACGGGUGAGUAACACGUGGGAACGUGCCCUUUGGUUCGGAACAACUCAGGGAAACUUGAGCUAAUACCGAAUGUGCCCUUCGGGGGAAAGAUUUAUCGCCAUUGGAGCGGCCCGCGUCUGAUUAGCUAGUUGGUGAGGUAAAGGCUCACCAAGGCGACGAUCAGUAGCUGGUCUGAGAGGAUGAUCAGCCACACUGGGACUGAGACACGGCCCAGACUCCUACGGGAGGCAGCAGUAGGGAUCUUGCGCAAUGGGCGAAAGCCUGACGCAGCCAUGCCGCGUGAAUGAUGAAGGUCUUAGGAUUGUAAAAUUCUUUCAGCGGGGACGAUAAUGACGGUACCGCAGAAGAGCCCGGCUAACUUCGCGCCAGCAGCCGC